GUUCUUCUCAUAUAUUUUAUAAAAGUAUGAUACUAGACCCCUAACGGAAGGGAUUGUGCUUGAUAUUCAUAUGAUGAAUCUUUCAAUCAGUUUAAUUGAGGUCUGGAGCUGGCAUGUCAGUUAACUGCUAGUAGUCUGUUGUUAUUUAUGUAUUAUUGUCUUUUUAUUUAUUUUCUUUUGUUACAUCUUUCGACAUUGGACUCGUACUUUUCUUGAACAGAAUUUUAAUGUGAGUAUUGUUAUGCUUUUACUUUUCUACAUUGACUAGAUGUAUAGGGAGGUUGAGAUCUCAUAAACAUGUUUAACCCCGCCGCAAUUUUGCGCCUGUCCUAAGUCAGGAGCCUCUGGCCUUUGUUAGUCUUUAAUGAUUUUGAUUUUUGUUUCUUGUGUAUAAUUUGGAGAUUAGUAUGACGUCCAUUAUCACUGUACUAGAAUACAUAUUUUUGAGGGGCCAGCUGAAGGACGCCUACGGAUUCGGGAGUGUCUCGCUACAUUGAAGACCUAUUGGUGGCCUUCGGCUGCUGUCUGCUCUAUGGUCGGGUUAUUGUCGCGUCGACACAUUCCCCAUUUUCUUUCUCAGUUUUAUUGGGUUAAUUUCCUGGUCAAUUUUAGUCAUACAUAAUUUAAAAUAUGUUGUAACCAGUCCAAAGGAAACAUAAAACAUUCUGUUUCGUGUGUCCAAGGACAUUUAUUGAAUAAUCGUCAUCAGGAAGGCCUUAAACCGUAAC
rnacentral:lncRNA from 1 species